CGGCGGACGGGUGAGUAACACGUGGAUAACCUACCUAUAAGACUGGGAUAACUUCGGGAAACCGGAGCUAAUACCGGAUAAUAUAUUGAACCGCAUGGUUCAAUAGUGAAAGACGGUUUUGCCGUCACUUAUAGAUGGAUCCGCGCCGCAUUAGCUAGUUGGUAAGGUAACGGCUUACCAAGGCAACGAUGCGUAGCCGACCUGAGAAGGUGAUCGGCCACACUGGAACUGAGACACGGUCCAGACUCCUACGGGAGGCAGCAGCG
rnacentral:rRNA from 1 species